UACGUAGGGGGCAAGCGUUGUCCGGAAUCAUUGGGCGUAAAGCGCGCGUAGGUGGCCCAGUAAGUCCGCUCUGAAAGUCAAAGGCUCAACCUUUGAAAGCGGGUGGAUACUGCUGGGCUAGAGUCCGGAAGAGGCGAGUGGAAUUCCUGGUGUAGCGGUGGAAUGCGCAGAUAUCAGGAGGAACACCAACGGCGAAGGCAGCCCGCUGGGACGGUACUGACACUAAGGCGCGAAAGCGUGGGGAGCGAACAGG
rnacentral:rRNA from 1 species